rnacentral:rRNA from 1 species
ACUACGGGAGGUAGCAGUGAGGAAUAUUGGUCAAUGGGCGCGAGCCUGAACCAGCCAAGUAGCGUGAAGGAUGACUGCCCUCCGGGUUGUAAACUUCUUUUAUAAAGGAAUAAAGUGAGGCACGUGUGCCUUUUUGUAUGUCCUUUAUGAAUAAGGAUCGGCUAACUCCGUGCCAGCAGCCGCGGUAAUCCGGAGGAUCCGAGCGUUAUCCGUAUUUAUUGGGUUUAAAGGGAGCGUAGAUGGGUUGGUAAGUAAGUUGUGAAAGUUUGCGGAUCAACCGUAAAAUUGCAAUUGAUACUGGCAGUCUUGAGUACAGUUGAGGUAGGCGGAAUUCGUGGUGUAGCGGUGAAAUGCUUAGAUAUCACGAAGAACUCCGAUUGCGAAGGCAGCUUACUAAACUGCCACUGACAUUGAUGCUCGAAAGUGUGGGUAUCAAACAGGAUUAGAUACCCUAGUAGUC